rnacentral:rRNA from 1 species
CGGGACGGGUGAGUAACGCGUGGAUAACCUGCCGUAUACUGGGGGAUAACACUUAGAAAUAGGUGCUAAUACCGCAUAAGCGCACAGUCUCGCAUGAGACGGUGUGAAAAACUCCGGUGGUAUACGAUGGAUCCGCGUCUGAUCAGCUUGUUGGCGGGGUAACAGCCCACCAAGGCGACGAUCAGUAGCCGGCCUGAGAGGGUGAACGGCCACAUUGGGACUGAGACACGGCCCAAACUCCUACGGGAGGCAGCAG